rfam:Parcubacteria (Nomurabacteria) bacterium GW2011_GWA1_46_11 TX31_C0042, whole genome shotgun sequence.
AGCUGUUGGAAUUAAAGCAAAUGGCGGAUGCCUUGGUAGUAAGAGCCGAAGAAGGACGCACAUGACUGCGAUAAGCGUCGGGGAGUUGUCACGAAGCGGUGAUCCGGCGGUGUCCGAAUGGGGAAACCCACCACGCUCAGCGUGGGGCUGCGUUCUGAAUUCAUAGGAGCGUAUGCGGGAACCCGGGGAACUGAAACAUCUAAGUACCCGGAGGAAAAUAAAUACAAUUGAGAUUCCGUUAGUAAGCGGUGAGCGAAAGCGGAACAGCCUAAACUUGGGCCGUAAGGCCUAGGGGUUGCAAGGCGCACAAGGGAGUGUUAGCGGUAGUUGAACACCCUGGAAUGGGUGGCCAGAGAAGGUGAAAGCCCCGUAAAUUAAACCAAUGACACCUCGAGCGAAUACCUUAAGUACCACGAAAGACGAAGCUUUUGUGGGAAUCCGGGGGGACCACCCUCCAAGGCUAAAUACUCUUAUUGACCGAUAGUGAACAAGUACCGUGAGGGAAAGGUGAAAAGCAGGGUUAGUGACCCGAUGAAAUAGAACCUGAAACCGUUUGCUAACAAACAGUCAGAGCUUGUGCGGAGCACAAAGGAUAAGAAAUUUAGGAUAAGAGGAACCGAGGAUACGAGUGAUGAGUCAAAAAAAGACUAGUCACUCUUAUCUUCUUAAUCUUCGUUCCUACUCUUCGUAUCUUGCGCGCUUCGCGCGAGUAAUGGCGUGCCUAUUGAAGAAUGAACCAGCGAGUAGUCUUCAUAUGCGAGUCUAAGUUCGCUAAGACGGACGGAGGCGUAGCGAAAGCGAGUCCAAAUAGGGCGUAAAUAAGCAUAUGGCGGCUGACCCGAAACCAGGUGAGCUAAUCAUGAGCAGGGUGAACCUCGAUGAAAAUCGAGGGGAGGCCCGCACCCGUCGUCGCUGCAAGGACGUGGGAUGACUUGUGAUUAGAGGUAAUAUGCCAAUCGAACCUGGAGAUAACUGGUUCUCCCCGAAAGAUAUAUGGGUAUCGCGUCCAUCAAUAACCAAAUGGGGGUAGAGCUACUGGAUGGGUGUUGCUUCGCAAGGAGUGGCAUCCAACCAAACUCCGAAUACCGUUUGGAAUCGGAUGGGCAGUCAGUCCUACACGGCUAAGCGCGUACGGACUAAAGGGAAACAACCCAGACUCUCGUCUAAGGUCUCUAAGUAUCGUUUAAGUGUUGAAGGUAGUGGUAUUCCUCAGACAGCCAGGAGGUUGGCUCAGAAGCAGCCAUCCUUUAAAGAAAGCGUAACAGCUCACUGGUCGACUGGGAUUCUGCGCCGAAAAUUUAUCGAGGCUCAAAUCGAUCACCGAAGACAGAGGUGCUCAUGCUUUGCAUGAGCGCGGUAGGGGAGCGUUGAGAGGGCGGUGAAGUUCUACCGUGAGGUGGGGUGGAGCGCUCUCAAGUGAGAAUGCUGGUAUGAGUAACCAACAGCAAUGUGAGAAUCAUUGCCACCGAAUACCCAAGGUUUCCCACGCACCGUUUUUCGGCGUGGGGUAAGUCGGCACCUAAGGUGAGGCCACAAAGGGCGUAGCCGAUGGACGACCGGUUUAUAUUCCGGUACAGGAGUGAAAUCGUUACGAGUUGGGGAUGGACAAAGAUGGAGGGCUCAGAGUUUGCCUGACCGCAGACUUCUAAACUAUUAAGCAGUUUGGGUAGGAAAACCCUUCCAAACGUUUAACUGAGUAGCGACGGGAAGCCGGGCUGCAAAGCUUGGCAAGUGAAGACCUUUCAACUUUCAAGAAAAUAUCCGCAACCAGAGUUCAUUUCUGCCGUACCGCAAUCCGAAACAGGUGGGUUGGUCGAGUAGACCAAGGUGGUCGGGAGAAGGCGGCUCAAGGAACUCGGCAAAAAAGCUGGGCGUAAGUUCGCAAGAUGCCCUGCCAUGUUCAGUUACAUGAACGUGGCCUCAGCAAAAGAUUAUUCAGCGACUGUUUAACUAAAACACCGGCCUCUGCAAAACCGAAAGGUACAGUAUAGGGGCUGACGCCUGCCCACUGUCAGAAGGUUAAGGGGAUGCCUGACUCCGCAAGGAGAGGGGUUGAACCGAAGCCCUGAUGAAGGGCGGCUUUAACUAUAAGAGUCCUAUGGUGGAAUAUGCGCUGCCAUAGUGAGGUAAAAGUCCUCCGUCAAGUGUCCGCUGCCGAGCGGAUGGAGAUGAAAAUCUGACUAAAUGCUGGAACGACUCAGAAUCCGACAGUACCAGCGAUGGUGACAAUCUGUUCGGUGGAGUUAAUCAGCAGGAAAGACUCUCGUUAGGACCAAUUACAAUUUUUAAAUUUGAAAAAAUUAUUGAAAAUUUAGAAUUGAAAAUUGAAAAUUCCGACGGGAGAAUCCUCACUCACUAUAUGUCAGAGUCCGGCAUUGUGUCGGGCAAGAGAUAGUGGCGUCUGCAUGGCGACAUGCAGGGUCAAACAAUUUUGACCACAACCGCGCUCAGCGCGGCGAAGAUUAGCAAGCGAAGUUCCUAGUCGGGUGAGAGGAAACGAGCCCGACUUUAAAAACUGGCUCAUAUCGGUGAAGUCCCAUGUCUUUGGUCAAGGCUUCGGCGACAACAUCGAGGGAAGUCCUCUAACAUAACGUUGGAGUGACCCCGUAUCGACUGAGGGAGAAAUCCCAAGAGGUAUGACAAACAUACCUAACACGCCAGUACUCCGACGUCUCGUCGGUGUAAAGGUAUAGUCAGUUCCAUUGGUAACAAUGGUGUGAAUUAAUGAAGUUCCGACCCGCACGAAAGGCGUAACGACUGAAUAACUGUCUCGAGCCGUCCCCCGGUGAAAUUGAAAUGGCUGUGAAGAUGCGGCCUAGAUGUACUAGGACAAAAAGACCCCGUGGAGCUUUACUGCAACUCGGCACUGUAUCGUUUAUUUUUCUUGUUUAGCGUAGGAGGGAGCCGAAAGGCGAGCAUGAAACACCUCCCGGAAGAGUAGGCGAGACUUACCUACAGACCCUGAAUACGGGUUUGGGGACCGUGCUUGGUGGGCAGUUUUACUGGGAUGGUAUCCUGCAAAAGAGUAACGCAGGAGUUCAAGGGUUGGCUCAGUACGGAUGGAAAUCGUACGCAGAGUGCAACGGCAUAAGCCAGCUUGACUGUGAGGCGGACACGCCGAGCAGGCACGAAAGUGGGACGUAGUGAUCCCCCGACACAUCGUGGGAUGGUCGGGGCUUAACGGAUAUAAGCUACCCCGGGGAUACAAUCUGUGUUCCGUUCCAUAGAGAUAUGGGACAAUAAAUUCGGCUAA